rnacentral:tRNA from 1 species
GUCAGGUUGGCCGAGUGGUCUAAGGCGCCAGAUUUAAGCUCUGGUUCCCGAGGGGGAGCGUGGGUUCGAACCCCACACCUGACA